rnacentral:rRNA from 1 species
GCAGUGGGGAAUNUUGGGCAAUGGGCAAGGCGCCUGAUCCAGCCAUAUAGAGUGAUUCUGCGUCAAUUGACGUUCAGCCGUCCCAUGGCAGCCCGGCCUGGCAAUAGUUUUUAUUUUAUUUUUAAACUUUAAUUUAAAAACCCCACCAGGUGUAAACCCUUUAAACUAAAGGGGGCGGACGUUAAGAAAAACAAAAAGAGUAUUGGCAUACGACCGUCCACUGUCUCAGCGGUCCAUGACGAUAAGGAAACAAAACGAGAAUUGACGUUAAGAAAAAUAAAAGAUCUGGAGGUAAGGAGAAUAAUGAUACAACUUACCUAUAAAUCCUGACCAACCUCGUGCCAGCAGUCGCGGUAAGACGAAGAGGAUGAGCGUAAUUCAUGAUGUAUAGGUGUAAAGGGUCUGUAGGCGGCGAAAGCUAGAGUGUUACAUGGGAAAAGAGGAAUUAAGUAAGUAGGGAUAAAAUCCAAUGAUCUAUUUAGGAAGGUCGAGGGCGAAGGCAUCUUUCUAGGAACACUGACGCUAAGGGACUAAAGUGUGGGGAGCAAAAAGGAUUAGAUACCCCAUUAGUCCACA